CCUACGGGGCGCAGCAGUGGGGAAUAUUGCACAAUGGGCGCAAGCCUGAUGCAGCCAUGCCGCGUGUAUGAAGAAGGCCUUCGGGUUGUAAAGUACUUUCAGCGGGGAGGAAGGUGUUGUGGUUAAUAACCACAGCAAUUGGCGUUACCCGCAGAAGAAGCACCGGCUAACACCGUGCCAGCAGCCGCGGUAAUACGGAGGGUGCAAGCGUUAAUCGGAAUCACUGGGCGUAAAGCGCACGCAGGCGGUCUGUCAAGUCGGAUGUGAAAUCCCCGGGCUCAACCUGGGAACUGCAUUCGAAACUGGCAGGCUAGAGUCUUGUAGUGGGGGGUAGAAUUCCAGGUGUAGCGGUGAAAUGCGUAGAGAUCUGGAGGAAUACCGGUGGCGAAGGCGGCCCCCUGGACAAAGACUGACGCUCAGGUGCGAAAGCGUGGGGAGCAAACAGGAUUAGAUACCCUUGUAGUC
rnacentral:rRNA from 1 species